UGCCAGCAGCCGCGGUAAUACGGAGGGUGCAAGCGUUGUCCGGAAUCACUGGGUGUAAAGGGUGUGUAGGCGGGACAGCAAGUCAGAGGUGAAAUCCUACGGCUCAACCGUAGAACUGCCUUUGAGACUGCUGUUCUUGAGUCUCGGAGAGGUUACCAGAAUUCGUGGUGUAGCGGUGAAAUGCGUAGAUAUCACGAGGAAUACCCGUGGCGUAGGCAGGUAACUGGACGAGUACUGACGCUGAGGCACGAAAGCGUGGGGAGCAAACAGGAUUAGAUA
rnacentral:rRNA from 1 species